AGCGGGGUGGGGAAGCCAGGUAUCCUGCGGGUGUGCGGACCCCGAGGUCGGUGGUUCAAAUCCACCCCCCGCUACCA
rnacentral:tRNA from 1 species